rnacentral:rRNA from 1 species
UAAUACGGAGGGGGCUAGCGUUGUUCGGAAUUACUGGGCGUAAAGCGCAUGUAGGUGGUGCAAUAAGUUAGAGGUGAAAGGCCUGGGCUCAACCUGGGAACUGCCUUUAAUACUAUUGCGCUAGAGUUCGGGAGAGGGUAGCGGAAUUCCAAGUGUAGAGGUGAAAUUCGUAGAUAUUUGGAAGAACACCGGUGGCGAAGGCGGCUACCUGGACCGACACUGACACUGAGAUGCGAAAGCGUGGGGAGCGAACAGGAUUAGAUACCCUGGUAGUCCACGCCGUAAACGAUGGGUGCUAGUUGUUGGGGUCUUAGACUUCAGUGACGUAGCUAACGCGUUAAGCACCCCGCCUGGGGAGUACGGUCGCAAGAUUAAAACUCAAAUGAAUUGACGG